GCCCCUUUCCUGUUUGGCGACUUCUGUUGCAGGGCCUGCAGGGCUCCUGCUGGGCAGGGACACGCGUGGGCAGCAACACGCAGCAGUGGGACAGGGACAGCACUGCACGGAGCUUUGGCGUCGCCCAUCCCCGUGGGACCCGAGGAUGCUCCCAUUGCUGCGCCGGGCCUGGCUGUGCCUCGGAGCUCUGCUGGUUGCCCCCCAUGAGGGGACCCCGCAGCUGCUGAUGGACAUGAGCCGCGACGCCUUCGACGAUCAGUACGAGGGCUGCGCGGCGGCGAUGGAGGCAGCGGGGCCGGCGCUGCUGGAGCGGGAGCGGGCGCGGGGCGAGUCCCGUCUGUUCCGCAGGGUGUGGGGCCGGGCUGGGGAGCGCUGGCAGCGGGUGAAGGGCGCGCUGGCCCCCCGCCUGCCCCUUGGCUUCAAGCUGCCAAGCAAUUGCCUUGGGCAUCCCUUUGUUUUCUUCUGUUCUUCCUUCCUAUCUCUCUCAUCAAACUGUCCCUCUCAGCUGACAAGUUCUCACACUUUUAUCUGUGUCAGUGCUCUGCCCAUCUCCUGGUGUGGCAGUGAGCAAACGGCCAAGUGCUGCAGAGCUGCUGCAGGGUUAAACCACAGCUGUGCUACUGAUCAUCAUAGGAUGGCCUGGGUUGCAAAGGACUACAAUGCUCAUUGAGUUCCAACCCCCUGCUAUGUGCAGGGUUGCCAACCACCAGACCAGGCUGCACAUAGCUCUGCUCCUGUGGUGGUUUGGCCCAGAGCACAGGAGGCACAGGGGAGGAUCCUGGUGGCCCUACAGCUCUUCGUGGCCCUACAGCUCCUUAUGGCAUUGCUGAGUUCUGCUCUCUGGUGAUGGUGAGAGGCUCCAAUGGAAUGGUAUGGAGCUGUGUCGUGGGAGGGUCAGGUGGGGGAAAGGGAAAGGUGUGCCCCAUUGGGCAGCGGGCAUGGCUCAGCUCCACCAGUGAGGGACUUCUCUGCUUCUGUAUCUCUGAGUGAGCCACGAGAGCUGAAAAACAUCAGCCAUUGUCCAGGCAAGUGUACAGAACAGAUGGGGGAGAAAGGGAUCUUCAAAGACCUUCCAGUCCAACCGCCUGAGCAGCACAGGGCGAACCUGGAGGUGGAGCAUCGCAUUGAGGGAUGGUCACUGCACCGCCUGAGCACCGGCAGUGCCAUUUGAAGCCAUUUCCCCUUAUUCUGUCACCACAGGCCCUGCUCAAGAGUCUGUCCCCUUCUUUCCUGUCGCUCCCCUUUGGAUACUGACAGGCUGCUCUCAGGUCUCCUGCAGCCUUCCCUUCUCCAUCUGCACAGCCCCAGCUCUCAGC